UACGAAGGGGGCUAGCGUUGUUCGGAUUCAUUGGGCGUAAAGGGUGCGUAGGCGGCGCGGUAAGUCGGGUGUGAAAUCUUGGAGCUUAACUCCGAAACUGCAUUCGAUACUGCCGUGCUUUGAGGACUGGAGAGGAGACUGGAAUUUACGGUGUAGCGGGUGAAAUGCGUAGAUAUCGUAAGGAAGACCAGUGGCGAAGGCGGGGUCUCUGGACAGUUCCUGACGCUGAAGCACGAAGGCCAGGGGAGCAAACGGG
rnacentral:rRNA from 1 species